UAAUGACGAUGAUGGGGGUGGUGGUGGUGGUGGUGGUGGCGACGGUGUUGGAAUUAGUGUGGUAACAACAACAACAACAACAACACGGCUACAACCAACCAACUCACCAGCCAGCCAACCAGCCAACUAAGCGAGCUUUUUAAAACCAUUAGCGAAGACAAGAAACUUAAGCGAAGAACGAGAGAGCAGGCACCGGCUGUGUUUAUAUACUUCGACGGUGCUGCAUUUAUAUGUAAACAUACACUCGUAAACACUCGCCUAUAUAUAUAUACAUAUAUACAUAAAUAUAUAUACAUAAAUUUCAUAUAGGUAUUAUAUAUUAUACAC